AUACUCUGGUUUCUCUUCAGAUCGUAUAAAUCUUUCGCCUUUUACUAAAGAUUUCCACGGAGAGCUAUAUGUUCUAGCAGAUGUAUCUUCACUAAUUUGAAAAUGAACAUAGUUGGUGAU